GCAGAUGGCUGGAUGGUCGCCGCUCUAGAGAAGAGGGGAGGAAAGUCCGGGCUUUAUGGAAACACGGUGCCAGUUAAUGGCUGGCGAGGGUGACCUCAGGGAAAGUGCCACAGAAAGCAAACCGCCAGCUAUAGGCUGGUAAGGAUGAAAGGGUGCGGUAAGAGCGCACCGCGUCGCUGGUAACAGGGAUGGCAGGGUAAACCCCACCGAAAGCAAAACCAAUAGGGAUGGUUGCCUUUAAUGGCAGGCGGGUUUCCACGCUAUCGUCCGGGUAGGUUGCUUGAGUUUGCUGGCGACAGCAAAUCUAGAUGAAUGAUCAUCGAAAUGUUGAAAUGGAAACAUGGAACAGGACCCGGCUUAUAGGCCAUCUGCCCUA
rnacentral:RNase_P_RNA from 1 species